rnacentral:rRNA from 1 species
UACAGAGGGGCAAGCGUUGUUCGGAAUUACUGGGCGUAAAGGGCGCGUAGGCGGCCUUCUAAGUCGAACGUGAAAUCCCCGGGCUCAACCCGGGAACUGCGUCCGAUACUGGAAGGCUUGAAUCCGGGAGAGGGAUGCGGAAUUCCAGGUGUAGCGGUGAAAUGCGUAGAUAUCUGGAGGAACACCGGUGGCGAAGGCGGCAUCCUGGACCGGCAUUGACGCUGAGGCGCGAAAGCCAGGGGAGCAAAGCGGG